rnacentral:rRNA from 1 species
GAUGAACGCUGGCGGCGUGCCUAAUACAUGCAAGUCGAGCGAAUGGAUUGAGAGCUUGCUCUCAAGAAGUUAGCGGCGGACGGGUGAGUAACACGUGGGUAACCUGCCCAUAAGACUGGGAUAACUCCGGGAAACCGGGGCUAAUACCGGAUAAUAUUUUGAACUGCAUGGUUCGAAAUUGAAAGGCGGCUUCGGCUGUCACUUAUGGAUGGACCCGCGUCGCAUUAGCUAGUUGGUGAGGUAACGGCUCACCAAGGCAACGAUGCGUAGCCGACCUGAGAGGGUGAUCGGCCACACUGGGACUGAGACACGGCCAG